rnacentral:rRNA from 1 species
AUACGGAGGAUGCGAGCGUUAUCCGGAUUUAUUGGGUUUAAAGGGGGCGUAGGUGGGAUAUUAAGUCAGCUGUGAAAGUUUGGGGCUCAACCUUAAAAUUGCAGUUGAUACUGGUUUCCUUGAGUACGGUACAGGUGGGCGGAAUUCGUGGUGUAGCGGUGAAAUGCUUAGAUAUCACGAAGAACUCCGAUCGCGAAGGCAGCUCACCGGGCCGGAACUGACACUGAUGCUCGAAAGUGCGGGUAUCAAACAGGAUUAGAUACCCUGGUAGUCCGCACAGUAAACGAUGAAUACUCGCUGUUUGCGGUACACGGUAAGCGGCCAAGCGAAAGCGUUAAGUAUUCCACCUGGGGAGUACGCCGGCAACGGUGAAACUCAAAUGAAUUGACGGGG